rnacentral:rRNA from 1 species
AAGGUUCGAAACGGUAACAGGACAGCUUGCUGCUUCGCUGACGAGUGGCGGACGGGUUUAGUAAUGUCUGGGAAACUGCCUGAUGGAGGGGGAUAACUACUGGAAACGGUAGCUAAUACCGCAUAAUGUCGCAAGACCAAAGAGGGGGACCUUCGGGCCUCUUGCCAUCGGAUGUGCCCAGAUGGGAUUAGCUAGUAGGUGGGGUAACGGCUCACCUAGGCGACGAUCCCUAGCUGGUCUGAGAGGAUGACCAGCCACACUGGAACUGAGACACGGUCCAGACUCCUACGGGAGGCAGCAGUGGGGAAUAUUGCACAAUGGGCGCAAGCCUGAUGCAGCCAUGCCGCGUGUGUGAAGAAGGCCUUCGGGUUGUAAAGCACUUUCAGCGGGGAGGAAGGCGGUAAGGUUAAUAACCUUGCCGAUUGACGUUACCCGCAGAAGAAGCACCGGCUAACUCCGUGCCAGCAGCCGCGGUAAUACGGAGGGUGCAAGCGUUAAUCGGAAUUACUGGGCGUAAAGCGCACGCAGGCGGUCUGUCAAGUCGGAUGUGAAAUCCCCCGGGCUCAACCUGGGAACUGCAUUCGAAACUGGCAGGCUAGAGUCUUGUAGAGGGGGGUAGAAUUCCAGGUGUAGCGGUGAAAUGCGUAGAGAUCUGGAGGAAUACCGGUGGCGAAGGCGGCCCCCUGGACAAAGACUGACGCUCAGGUGCGAAAGCGUGGGGAGCAAACAGGAUUAGAUACCCUGGUAGUCCACGCCGUAAACGAUGUCGACUUGGAGGUUGUGCCCUUGAGGCGUGGCUUCCGGAGCUAACGCGUUAAGUCGACCGCCUGGGGAGUACGGCCGCAAGGUUAAAACUCAAAUGAAUUGACGGGGGCCCGCACAAGCGGUGGAGCAUGUGGUUUAAUUCGAUGCAACGCGAAGAACCUUACCUACUCUUGACAUCCAGAGAACUUAGCAGAGAUGGAUUGGUGCCUUCGGGAACUCUGAGACAGGUGCUGCAUGGCUGUCGUCAGCUCGUGUUGUGAAAUGUUGGGUUAAGUCCCGCAACGAGCGCAACCCUUAUCCUUUGUUGCCAGCGGUCCGGCCGGGAACUCAAAGGAGACUGCCAGUGAUAAACUGGAGGAAGGUGGGGAUGACGUCAAGUCAUCAUGGGCCCUUACGAGUAGGGCUACACACGUGCUACAAUGGCGCAUACAAAGAGAAGCGACCUCGCGAGAGCAAGCGGACCUCAUAAAGUGCGUCGUAGUCCGGAUUGGAGUCUGCAACUCGACUCCAUGAAGUCGGAAUCGCUAGUAAUCGUAGAUCAGAAUGCUACGGUGAAUACGUUCCCGGGCCUUGUACACACCGCCCGUCACACCAUGGGAGUGGGUUGCAAAAGAAGUAGGUAGCUUAACCUUCGGGAGGGCGCUUACCACUUUUGAUCAA